UGAACAUUGAGCCUUGAUGUGUAGGAUAGGUGGGAGGCUUUGAAGUGUGGACGCCAGUCUGCAUGGAGCCGACCUUGAAAUACCACCCUUUAAUGUUUGAUGUUCUAACGUGGACCCGUAAUCCGGGUUGCGGACAGUGUCUGGUGGGUAGUUUGACUGGGGCGGUCUCCUCCUAAAGAGUAACGGAGGAGCACGAAGGUUGGCUAAUCCUGGUCGGACAUCA
rnacentral:rRNA from 1 species